rnacentral:lncRNA from 1 species
UCUGGCCAAUUGUAGAAGAUUGGCUGGAUGGGAUGAAACUUUGUUUUUGGGAAUCCUACAGAACAAGUAUUGCCUCAAAUUUUGACUACAUCAAGAAGCAAAACAGUGUAUUCAAAAAUGCUUACAGGAAGUUGAUUCACAUAAUAAAAAGAAAAUACAUACUAGAAAAACCUCCAGAUUUAGCAAAAGAAAGGUGUCCCUUGUGCUCAACAAAAAGGACAGGAAACAGAAGUAAAUGUGCAGAAGACGUGUGUGUUAUGAUCACUGUACAAUUAAAAAAGUUUGUGAAUAUUGCAAUAAAAAAAAUAAUUGAUUAAUUUAUUGAUUUCUUAAUCUAUACAUUUUAAAUUUAAUUUCAAUAAAAAAGAAUUGUAGAAAUAUAGUUUAUGCCUGGUUGCACCAACAGAUCUUAAGCUCCAGCUUAGCUAAGCUCAGCUAAGCUCAGCUUAUACUUUAAUAUUGGGGCCACACUAGGAUCUAAUGCCGUUAAUUAUCGCAUUAUUUGCAUUAGAACUAUGUCAAAUAAUGCGAUAAUUAACGGCAUCAAAUGCUAGUGUGGCACCAGCAUAAAGAGUUACAUUUAUAUUUAAGCUUAAGGUACGUCUUAAGCUUAAUAUAUGUUGGUGCAACCAAGCAUUAAACACAGAAUGAAAGAUACCAUUAUUACCAACGGUCGAAACUCCCUCAAAACUUGUAUAAUGUUUAUUUAAAUACGUUACAGGAGUGAAAAAGAAGAGAAAAUGUGAUUUUUAAUUUCAAAUAUAUUAUUCAAAAAAAUUUUUUUGUUGACUCAAAGGGGCUUUCGGUUCUGGGUAGUAAUGGAAUCUUUCAUUCUGCGUUUAAAUUUUUCAAAAAUAUUUAUUAGUUUUCAAAGGAUUCGAAAAAAAAAA